UCUGCCAGCCAGCAAGGAAAAGGGCGCUGCUCCAAACACGACACCGGAAGAGAUCUCAACAAUUCGAUAGAAUCAACGUCGUAUUGACUGUCAGGAUCUUGAUCGCAGGCAUGCAGAUCAGUACUCACUGAUCUAGGAUCGGUGUCACGGAAUAUCGGGGUGGCCAUUCAGACGUUGGGAUCCAGCACAGCACUGCAAUCCGAAUUGCCGAAUCGCGUUAUUGAGAGCGGACAGGAGGAAGGAGCAGUACUCCCAUGUAAUAUACAUGUAAGUUACAUCUGGUGCCGUCUGUCAUUUGCCCUAUUGCUAUCAUGCAUCACAUGUUUGCGAGGUUCACCAGGUCUUUUCCGUGAGCGAUCAGUUUGGCAUCCAGAGUCUGCUGAGCUGGUUGUUGCCGAGGCCCAGGUCACGCGGCUCGCAUGUGAGAAUACCGGACGUGGAUACCGGAUAACUGUACUCAGUAACUCAGCUUUACAUUUUACAGGCUACGUUGUUUUUAUUAUUAUUA